UACACUACAGUAUGAUAUUCUACGCUACCACUUUCACUCUCCUCUCAUCGUGCUUCCCCUCCACUGCCUCCCCAGUCCCAGUCCCAGUCCCCACCGACGGCGCGUGUACCAUCCGCAGAUCCGCUCCCCUGCCUCCAGUAGCCGGCGAGAGGACCUCUGCCUCCCCACAGAUGGCGCGAGGAACGCCGCCAUCCCAACCUCCCCGCCGCCGCAAGUUCUAGCUCAUCCGCCUCCGCCGCUGCUGCCAUUUCCUCGCGCCGACGGAGGCCAAGGGGCGGACCUCGUGUCUACCGGAUUCUCGGCCCUGGCCACCGUACGGCUGUUGGAGAGCUCUACAGUGCGCUAUUCUCCUCCCGUGAGAGCAAGCGUCGAGGUAGGAAGUCCUGCUCCGGCGGGUUGGCCGUGCCCCGAGUCUCCCGGAGUGGCCGGCGCACCUUCCCAGCUCAACCUCCGUGACCGAAAUUUCUGCCGGAGAAGCCUGCUGCCAGGCAGAUCGCCCGCAUCCUACCGUUUCCGCGCUUCUCCAACGCCCCCGCAUCUCCACAAGCAAGUACUCACAAAGUUUAUGGAAGAAGCUGGGUAGACAAGGGAUUGCGCCAUAUCAAUGGACGAUUUUAUGGCGGAAACAAGUCGUUUCGACUGAAUUUCUUCUCAUAAUAUUGCAGGGAACAAGCAUGUUUUUAAGAGAACUGUCCCGGGCCUAGUUGGUGCUUUAUUCAAAAUUGUUUUACACCUUCAAAGUCCACUCAUUUUCUGUAUCUUUAGUCGGUGCUGACUGAGAAUACCAUUUUCAGCUGGAUCACUACACACUCAAAUGGCUCAGAUCCAUUUAAUGGUCAUGUAGGAGCAUUAGAUCCAUAUGGACCUGAAGUUGUGCAGCUCCGUUGAAAGUUUGGUCUCUGGAAUAGUACUGAUGAAGUGGGGAUUUUUCGAGUAAGGAAGGAAGACCACCAACCGGGAGAAGGUCAUGUCAAGGGUGACCAGUAUCAUGAGGGGUAAUUAAGAAGCACUGCGUUGCAGCACAUAAUUAAACUUCCAGAACAGAAGUUUGUCAAACAUUCAGAAGAGCUGCUUAUUUACUUUAUUCUGUUUAGCAACAAUCAUAAUGAAUCAUGAUUUGGUUUGACAAAUAUAGGGCCUUGAUUUCAUACAUACAUGUUUCAAAGACUUCAAUCAAUUU